UCGGAUCAUUAUAGUGAUGUGGUUGAGUGAAUAAGUCUUUAAAGAAACUGAUUGCUUCCUUAGCUAUCUGCUCCUCCUCAUCAAUCCAUUGGUCUUCUCCAAUUCUGAUCCUGUGAAUGGUCAAUUUUCUUUUUUUCCUGGCAACAGAUGCAUGGAAAAAACUAGUGUUUAAGUCUCCAUCUUUAGCCCACUUGAGGUUAGCCUUUUGUCUCCAGUAGGCACCUUGGAUAUUAAAGUGUCUAAUAAGUUCAGCCUUCUUCUUGUUCAAUUGAGCUCUUUGCCGUUCAGUGGUGUCAGUUAGGUAUUGAUCCUCUAAGUCCUCAACCUCUUUCUCUAACUCUUUGGUAACUGCAAAGAUGUCACCCACUGUUUCCCUAGACCAUUUAGAUAGUAUAGAGGUAGUAUUUUUAAGCUUCUGGUGGAAAAUCCAAAAAGGGUUUCCCAACACCUGCUUGUCCCAUGCUUGUUUGAUCACCUCUUUAAAACCAUUUUGUGUAGUCCACAAGUUUAAAAACUUAAAGUAUCUAAUAGGAGGCAUCUUAGCAGUAGCAAUUUUGAGCCAGAGGAGCAUGAUCUGAAUUGACUCUAUGCAAGUGCAUAACUGAUGAGUUAGAGUACUUAGUAGCCCAUAGAUGAUUAACCAGGGCCCUAUCAAGUCUCUUCCAGAUUCUUCUAUCAGGUGCCCAGUCAUUACACCGAGUGUAUUUUGGGCCAGAGAACUGAAGAUCCACAAGAUCACACUGCAGAAUACAGUUGAUAAACGGUAAAGCUUUCUGAUGGUUGUGAGGCAGUCCUCCUUCUUUCUCUUGAGCUUCAGUAAUACAAUUAAAGUCACCUGUCACACACCACGGUUUAUUGUAGUAGGAGAGCCUCUUUAAAUCUUCCCAUAAAGGAAGUCUCAAAGCCGAUUUGGUCUUGGCAUAGACAGCAGAAAUUAUAAAUUCUUCCUCAUUCUUAACACUAAUGGAGCAAGUUAGGACCUGUUCUUGAUCAUCAAUAACAGUACAAUCCAGAUCUUCAUCGCCAAAAAUCCAAAUUUUAUUGUUGAUGUUGCUAAAUGCUUGACUACAACCAAGCAUUCUUUUGUAUCUUUGAAGUUUCUCUCUAGCGAGGUGUGGAGGUCGAGGAUUAUGGUUGUGGGUUGACAGGUAGUCGAGAGUCUCUUCUAGUCGUAUUAGUAGUACUAGUACUAGUCUUGUAUUGUCCUAUUCCGAGUUCCUUGCUGAUUAGACGAUGUGGCAUUAUUGCCGGUAGUUUUCGCACUUCUCUUAUAGCUUCGUAUCCCUAGUUCUCUACUAUUACAUGAUGUGCUAUUUGUUUCUUUUAUCUUAUUUCCUUGCCAUUGUUAAUGUUGGUUUAUUGUGUCCUUGUCACUGUUCUUAAGCCGAGGGACUAUUGGAAACAACCUCUCUUCCUUCGUAAGGUAGGGGUAAGGUCUGCGUACACACUACCCUCCCCAGACCCCACAUGUGGGAUUGCACAGGGUUUGUUGUUGUUGUUGUUGUUGUUGUUGAAGUUUCUCUCUAGCCACAAGGGGUUCCAUAAUGGCUAUAAAAGAAAUUUUGUUGUUGAGUUUGAAGAAUUUAAGUCUUUCAAAGGCAUUUUUAAUGCCUCGAAUAUUCCAUAUGAGAGUGCUAAUCAUGGGAAAGAUUGUGUGAUAUUGUGAGCUUAGCCCUGGAUCUUGUUCGAGGAGCAUUACCUCCUCCUCUGCUUUUGCCUCCUUUAUAAGUGCCUUGUCCUCUAGGUGAGAGAUUGUGUGUCUUAGUGAUCUCCUCAAAAUCUUGGCUAAUAUUGGGAUCUGAGUGUUGAUGUGAGCUAACUAAAUCAAGUAGUUGUGCUUCAGUUUCAUCAUCAUCACUUUUUAUACCACUAUCUUCGUCUUCUGCAGAAAUGUCCCCAUGUAUGCUUUCAUAUUCUUCAUUAUCAUCUGACAUGUUUUCAUUUUCAGGAUCUGGAGGCUCAGUUCCCCUCGCAGGAAUAGGAUAGUCUUGUGCUGAGAUAUAUUGAAUGACCUGUAAGUGAGUUCUGUCCGUAGAUUGAGGUUUAUAGCUAUGACCUGAAACUUCUUCCUUGUAAGCAUUCUCUGGAGAUUCUGGAACAUAAGAUGAGGAGCUUUGAGGGGUGUUGAGUUUGGUAAGUGUUUUGGUAGUUGUUGGAGUGUUGGAAUUUGGGUUAGCUUUAGUUUGGAUUUGAAUAGAGGCAGGAUUGUUGUGGGAUUGGUCACUCUGGUGACUCCUGGGAGGUUGUUUGCUAUUAUGGGGGCUGCUGUCUUUGGUGAAAGGUUCAACUUGCUUCUGUUUUUGUAUAUCAUCUUUAGUAGUGGUUGGAAAAGUACUGGUUGUUUUGUUUGAAUCAAGUUAAGUGUGGCUUGUUUCAGCAUGGUUAGUUUGCUGAAGUUGUUGGCUAAUUUGAGGCUUGACCUUGUUUGUGUGCUCUAUUUGAUUUUCUGUUGAUGUUGGAGUAGAUUGGAUUUGGAUAGGCUGCUGGAUAGUGUUCUCGGCUUGUUUUCCUGUUGGCUUUGG
rnacentral:lncRNA from 1 species